rnacentral:rRNA from 1 species
AACGAACGCUGGCGGCAGGCUUAACACAUGCAAGUCGAGCGCCCCGCAAGGGGAGCGGCAGACGGGUGAGUAACGCGUGGGAAUCUACCCAUCUCUACGGAAUAACGCAUGGAAACGUGUGCUAAUACCGUAUACGUCCUUCGGGAGAAAGAUUUAUCGGAGAUGGAUGAGCCCGCGUUGGAUUAGCUAGUUGGUGGGGUAAAGGCUUACCAAGGCGACGAUCCAUAGCUGGUCUGAGAGGAUGAUCAGCCACACUGGGACUGAGACACGGCCCAGACUCCUACGGGAGGCAGCAGUGGGGAAUAUUGGACAAUGGGCGCAAGCCUGAUCCAGCCAUGCCGCGUGAGUGAUGGAGGCCCUAGGGUUAUAAAGCUCUUUCACCGGUGAAGAUAAUGACGGUAACCGGAGAAGAAGCCCCGGCUAACUUCGUGCCAGCCGCCGCAGUAAAAC